GGCUGGUCCGAAGGUAGCGAGUUAUCUCACUUGAUUGUUCACAGUCAAAUUGAACUUACAGAUUGAACUCCUUGUUCUACUACUUAACUUCCCUCCUCACUACUGCACUUGACUAGUCUUAA
rnacentral:Y_RNA from 1 species